rnacentral:rRNA from 1 species
UACGGAGGGGGCUAGCGUUGUUCGGAAUUACUGGGCGUAAAGCGCACGUAGGCGGCUUUGUAAGUUAGAGGUGAAAGCCCAGGGCUUAACCCUGGAAUUGCCUUUAAGACUGCAUCGCUAGAAUCGUGGAGAGGUGAGUGGAACUGCGAGUGUAGAGGUGAAAUUCGUAGAUAUUCGCAAGAACACCAGUGGCGAAGGCGGCUCACUGGCCCGAUACUGACGCUGAGGCACGAAAGCGUGGGGAGCAAACAGG